CUGACCUCAAAUCAGGUAGGACUACCCGCUGAACUUAAGCAUAUCAAUAAGCGGAGGAAAAGAAACUAACAAGGAUUCCCCUAGUAACUGCGAGUGAAGCGGGAAAAGCUCAAAUUUAAAAUCUGGCAUGCCUUUGGCUGUCCGAAUUGUAGUCUGGAGAAGUGUUUUCCGUGCUGGACCAUGUACAAGUCCCUUGGAAUAGGGCGUCAUAGAGGGUGAGAAUCCCGUCUUUGACAUGGACUACCAGUGCUUUGUGAUGCGCUCUCAAAGAGUCGAGUUGUUUGGGAAUGCAGCUCAAAAUGGGUGGUAAAUUCCAUCUAAGGCUAAAUAUAGGCGAGAGACCGAUAGCGAACAAGUACCGUGAGGGAAAGAUGAAAAGCACUUUGGAAAGAGAGUUAAACAGUACGUGAAAUUGCUGAAAGGGAAACGCUUGAAGUCAGUCAUGUCUGCUGGGACUCAGCCUUGCUUUUGCUUGGUGCAUUUUCCAGUUUGACAGGCCAGCAUCGAUUUUGACUAUUGGAAAAAGGUAAAGGAAAUGUGGCACCUUCGGGUGUGUUAUAGUCCUGGACCACAUACAAUAGUUGGGAUCGAGGAUCGCAGCAUGCCUUUAUGGCCGGGGUUCGCCCACGUACAUGCUUAGGAUGCUGCAUA
rnacentral:rRNA from 1 species